rnacentral:rRNA from 1 species
AGUGGCGGACGGGUGAGUAACGCGUGAGGAACCUGCCUCAAAGAGGGGACAACAGUUGGAAACGACUGCUAAUACCGCAUAAGCCCACGGGUCGGCAUCGACCAGGGGGAAAAGGAGCAAUCCGCUUUGAGAUGGCCUCGCGUCCGAUUAGCUAGUUGGUGAGGUAAUGGCCCACCAAGGCAACGAUCGGUAGCCGGACUGAGAGGUUGAACGGCCACAUUGGGACUGAGACACGGCCCAGACUCCUACGGGAGGCAGCAUG